GGGGGGGGGGGGGGGGGGGGGUGGCGGGGGGAGGUCGGGCGGGGGUGCGGGGGGUGGCGGCGGCGGGCGGGGGGGUCACGCGUGGGCAGGUGCCCUUCGGGUCGGGAUGCCUCAGGGAAACUUGAGCUACUACCGGAUACGUGCGCGAGCAGCAAGGUUUAUCUGCCGAAGGAUCGGCCCGCGUCUGAUUAGCUCGUUGGUGAGGUUAUGGCUCACCAAGGCGACGAUCACUAGCUGGUCUGAGAGGAUGAUCAGCCACACUGGGACUGAGACACGGCCCAGACUCCUACGGGAGGCAGCAGUGGGGAAUAUUGGACAAUGGGGGCAACCCUGAUCCAGCCAUGCCGCGUGAGUGAUGACGGCCUGAGGGUUGUAAAGCUCUUUUCUCCGGGACGAUAAUGACGGUACCGGAGGAAUAAGCCCCGGCUAACUUCGUG
rnacentral:rRNA from 1 species